rnacentral:rRNA from 1 species
AGUGAACGCUGGCGGUAGGCCUAACACAUGCAAGUCGAACGGCAGCACAGUAAGAGCUUGCUCUUACGGGUGGCGAGUGGCGGACGGGUGAGGAAUACAUCGGAAUCUACUUUUUCGUGGGGGAUAACGUAGGGAAACUUACGCUAAUACCGCAUACGACCUACGGGUGAAAGCAGGGGAUCUUCGGACCUUGCGCGAUUGAAUGAGCCGAUGUCGGAUUAGCUAGUUGGCGGGGUAAAGGCCCACCAAGGCGACGAUCCGUAGCUGGUCUGAGAGGAUGAUCAGGCAAACUGGAACUGGGACACGGUCCAGACUCCUACGGGAGGCAGCAGGGGGGAAUAUUUGACAAUGGGGGGAAGCCUGGUCCAGCCAUACCGGGGUGGGGGAGGAGGCCUUCGGGUUGGAAAGCCCUUUUGUUUGGGAAAAAAAGCAGCAGGUUAAAACCCUGCUGGUCUGACGGUACCCAAAGGAUAAGCAACGGCUAACUUCGUG